UACGUAGGGUGCGAGCGUUGUCCGGAAUUACUGGGCGUAAAGAGCUCGUAGGUGGUUUGUCGCGUUUGUUCGUGAAAACCGGGGGCUUAACCCUCGGCGUGCGGGCGAUACGGGCAGACUUGAGUACUGCAGGGGAGACUGGAAUUCCUGGUGUAGCGGUGGAAUGCGCAGAUAUCAGGAGGAACACCGGUGGCGAAGGCGGCGACCUGGUCCGAUACUGACACUCAACUACGAAAGCGUGGGGAGCAAACAGG
rnacentral:rRNA from 1 species